CCCUUAGAUGUUCUGGGCCGCACGCGCGCUACACUGACGAAUGCAACGAGCUUAUAACCUUGGCCGAAAGGUCUGGGUAAUCUCCAAAUUUCGUCGUGAUGGGGAUAGAUUAUUGCAAUUAUUAAUCUUCAACGAGGAAUGCCUAGUAAGCGCAAGUCAUCAGCUUGCGUUGAUUACGUCCCUGCCCUUUGUACACACCGCCCGUCGCUCCUACCGAUUGAAUGGUCCGGUGAAGCGUUCGGACCGUGGCCUUUGGACGGUUCGUCGUCUGUUGGCUGCGGGAAGUUCGUUAAACCUUAUCAUUUAGAGGAAGGAGAAGUCGUAACA
rnacentral:rRNA from 1 species